rnacentral:lncRNA from 1 species
CCUGGGAUUUUUUUCUAGCAAAAAUAAUCAGUGGCUAUAACAAGUGAAAGACAAAAGACUUAAGUUUCUCCCCUGGGAAGCUCUAAACAGAGUAGACACGUUUCCAUCUGAGAUGGAGGGAUGAACUUUCUAGUUUCCUGAUGACUCUAUCAGCUCAGUGGUUUUUAAUUAUAGCAUCCUGUCACUAAUUAGACUUUGAAUAUCUUUAUAAAUCUGAUAGUUUCUGCAAAACAUCUUCCAUGUAAAAGUUAAAGGCAUCUGGGUACCACUAACCUCCAA